rnacentral:rRNA from 1 species
AGCGAACGCUGGCGGCAGGCCUAAAACAUGCAAGUCGAACGCCGUAGCAAUACGGAGUGGCAGACGGGUGAGUAACGCGUGGGAACGUACCCUUUGGUUCGGAACAACACAGGGAAACUUGUGCUAAUACCGGAUAAGCCCUUACGGGGAAAGAUUUAUCGCCAAAGGAUCGGCCCGCGUCUGAUUAGCUUGUUGGUGAGGUAACGGCUCACCAAGGCUACGAUCAGUAGCUGGUCUGAGAGGAUGAUCAGCCACACUGGGACUGAGACACGGCCCAGACUCCUACGGGAGGCAGCAGUUAGGAAUCUUGGACAAUGGGCGCAAGCCUGAUCCAGCCAUGCCGCGUGAGUGAUGAAGGCCUUAGGGUUGUAAAGCUCUUUCAGC